UACAGAGGUCUCAAGCGUUGUUCGGAUUCAUUGGGCGUAAAGGGUGCGUAGGCGGCGGGGCAAGUCGGAUGUGAAAUCUCAGGGCUCAACCCUGAAACUGCAUUCGAUACUGCUCUGCUCGAGGACUGCAGAGGAGACUGGAAUUCCCGGUGUAGCGGUGAAAUGUGUAGAGAUCGGGAGGAACACCGGUGGCGAAGGCGGGUCUCUGGGCAAUUCCUGACGCUGAGGCGCGAAAGCGUGGGGAGCAAACGGG
rnacentral:rRNA from 1 species